rnacentral:rRNA from 1 species
UGGGGAAUUUUGCACAAUGGGCGAAAGCCUGAUGCAGCAACGCCGCGUGCGGGAUGAAGGCCCUCGGGUUGUAAACCGCUUUCAGCAGGGACGAACGUGACGGUACCUGCAGAAGAAGCCCCGGCUAACUACGUGCCAGCAGCCGCGGUAAUACGUAGGGGGCAAGCGUUAUCCGGAUUCAUUGGGCGUAAAGCGCGCGUAGGCGGCUUGUUAAGUCAGAUGUGAAAACCGGGGGCUCAACCCGCGGCCUGCAUCUGAAACUGGCAGGCUUGAGUCUGGUAGAGGAAAGUGGAAUUCCUGGUGUAGCGGUGAAAUGCGCAGAUAUCAGGAGGAACACCAGUGGCGAAGGCGGCUUUCUGGGCCACGACUGACGCUGAGGCGCGAAAGCUAGGGGAGCGAA